UUCAUCCUUCUAUCAGAUUAGAUAGAAAAAUUGCAGGGGGGAAUCGAUUCUAUGGUUGUUUGAUGGCGGUGGGUUUAGCCGAAGAUGUAGAGAGGUUGUGUCGUGACGGUGGUUCUGCCACCGGUGAUCACCAUUUGGGCUCCGUUCCAACACAGUAGAUCAGAAACCACAAACCUCAUGUUAGAGUUUUCAUACGCAAAGAGUAAGAGACUAAGAGAGAGAAAGACCUUACGGUGUACAGAAGGAGAGAGACAGGCGAUGGGGUUUAGGGUUCCGCCUCCUCCCUGACCUUCUUCAAAACUAUUCAAAGAGAGAGAACAGCGUAGCGGCUCCGGAAUAGAGAGAGAAGGAUGACAGAUUAGAAUGCUUGCCUGCCACCGAUCUGCCGUUGAAAGGCGCAGAAGAACGAAAGGAGCAUAUUCCAACCUGAUUUCACUUGGGUUGUUUCCUCUGUAGCUUUCGAGGCAGCGCCCACUUCCAAUUUCAUCAGCAAUUGGAACAAAACAUGUGAUAUACAAACCGUUUCAUCAAGGUGAUUUCUAAUACCCAUACAUUUUUAGGUGAUUAAAAGACCUAAAUAAACUUUAUGGUGAAACAAAAUGGGUUGCAGGAGCAAAUUUUGGUUGUAGAUUGUUUAGGAGUUCUGGCUAGAACCAAUAAGGAGCAAUAAAGUUUUAGGAGCCGAUUGUCAUGUCAACAUUGGACAAAUCACUAGUUCUAAUAAGCUAAAGGAAUCUAUUGUUCUUUUGUGUUGGUGCCACUUUGGUAAGGUUUGGAAAUUCAACCAAGACCCAAGAAAGGCUCCGGGCGACUCAUGCGACUACAAAUGAUUCAUGAAGAUAAUUAGCUAAGCCUCAUUGAAGAUUCAAGCUUCCGAUGUGGAAUGAUGACGCAAGAAGAUUUCAAAUUUCAGCAUUGAAAAAUGAAAUUUGGGAAUUUUCGGGAUUGCUUUUCAUAUCACGAUUCAACCAUGGUGUGUAGGAAGGAUGCCACCUAUGUUAUCAUAAAGCUUGAUGUUUGAGGGUGAUUAUAUCAAAUGGGAAAAGAAAAGAAAUAUCAUUCCAUGGAAGUUGCUUAUGUAUAAAAGUGGAGAUCUUAAAUAGGAGAGGAUAAUGUUCGUGAACUUCCACUAGCUCAAGUUCCUAAGUUGGCUACAAAAGUUGAGUAGCAGCAAU
rnacentral:lncRNA from 1 species